AUUCUAGUAGCCAGGAAUGUAUACACCCCCACUUGAGGAUUAAGUAUGGGGGAGGAAGGUCUAUGACCAGCGUGUGCUAGCAAGUGACAAGUCAGAAAAAGUUGACUGACCCCCUGGGCAGUCCAAAGCCAAGUUUAAGCCACCAUUGAUACAUGUAAGACACAGGAAGUGACAUAAAGAACUAUCUUUAUAUUUUACAUCACUUCCUAUGAGAGGGACUUGGCCGUGGAACUCAACUGUGGAGGAGCUCGAGUGUGAGACUGCAGACUGCUUCCCUUAGACUGUCAUGUGUAGGAAACAGCUGGAUUAUCAUCUCUGCUUUGGCAUUCAAUCUGUUGAGCUAUGUUGCUUUGAUUAAAGUUUAUGAAGAAAAUCUGGCCUCAUACAGAGAUGAAGUUGGGAAAGAGAAGAGGAUUUUAAAAGACCAUUUCUUCCUCCAUAGUCCAUGAAGAAGGCUACUCAUUACCAUGUAAUUAAACAGUCUAGAACAAAUUACAGACCGUCUGUGUAAGUUCCAAAAUCCAUCUGGGGAUUGCACCAGUUGAGCACUAAACACAUGCUCAUAAGGAUAGAGAGCAUUAGCUAGUUCUCCAUUUCAAUAACAUUGUAGACUUUUCUAAAGAAUUGAAGUCAAGUUUCCUGGUUUCUCCUUUGAAAAUGCCAUUCUUGUCUCCUUUCCCUCUUUUUGUUUUAAUUGGGACAACAUGUGUUCCUCUUCCAGUCUUUCAAAUGUCAAUGAGUUAGUAAUUCUAUGAAUCAGUUCUUUGAGUGCCUGGUGAUGCAGUUAUUUGGACCAGGAACUGGUGAAUUCUAUUGAUACACACACCUCAUUUUUUAUGUCUUUUAUUCUGGUUGCAUCUGAUCCUUAUGGGCUUCAUUAAACAGCUGGUGUCCAAAUAGGUUUCAUUCAUUGUAAAGAUGCUACUCUAAAUGCAUGAGGAGACAAGCUUCACAUAAUGUACUCUCUACAUAUUUUUAAAAAUGCUGGUUAAUAAGAGAAAAAAAAAAGAAAAUGCCUAGAGUUGGGAAAUGGAAUUUCUAGUUCAUAGAACAAUUCAUAGAAUUCCAGGAAGGUAAGUGUUAUUGAAUUGCAGAAUAUAGGGGUGGUUAAGGUGUAAGAAGACUGGAAAAAUCAGGCAGAAGUCAGGUCAUGAAGAACUUUGAGUGUCAGAAUAUUUUAUCCUGAAUCCUGAAGGUGAUAGGGAGCCCCUGGGGUUUACUGAAUAGAGAGGAGAGACAAGGUUGGACACAGACUGUAG
rnacentral:lncRNA from 1 species